GAUGAACGCUGGCGGCGUGCCUAAUACAUGCAAGUCGAGCGAACGGACGAGAAGCUUGCUUGUCUGAUGUUAGCGGCGGACGGGUGAGUAACACGUGGAUAACCUACCUAUAAGACUGGGAUAACUUCGGGAAACCGGAGCUAAUACCGGAUAAUAUUUUGAACCGCAUGGUUCAAAAGUGAAAGACGGUCUUGCUGUCACUUAUAGAUGGAUCCGCGCUGCAUUAGCUAGUUGGUAAGGUAACGGCUUACCAAGGCAACGAUGCAUAGCCGACCUGAGAGGGUGAUCGGCCACACUGGAACUGAGACACGGUCCAGACUCCUACGGGAGGCAGCAGUAGGGAAUCUUCCGCAAAGGGCGAAAGCCUGACGGAGCAACGCCGCGUGAGUGAUGAAGGUCUUCGGAUCGUAAAACUCUGUUAUUAGGGAAGAACAUAUGUGUAAGUAACUGUGCACAUCUUGACGGUACCUAAUCAGAAAGCCACGGCUAACUACGUG
rnacentral:rRNA from 1 species